UUAUCAUAUGGUACCUGGUACGUAAAUCUAAUGAACGACUCAUCCAUCGGAAGAAAAAUGUAUCUACUUCAGAAAACGUUGACUCAACAUGUAUGAUAAAUACAGCAUCCGAAGAUCAAAUAGAGCAAAUGAGAAGCGAAUUAAAAUUCAUCUGUCCAGAACCAGCAACAAAAGAACGAGUUGAGGAACUUUGGAUGGCUACGUUCCAAGAUCGGCAGAAUAUACGUAAGACCGAUAACCUGUUAUCUUAUUUAAAAGACUAUCCGGCUGCAUCAGCAUUUAAUGGAAAGUUGAUCACCACAGAGUUCGGUCUUCUCAAUCCAGGAUGUUUAAAUUUUGGGGAAAAGUUUCAGUCUGUUCAGUGCCAAAUUGUCACAGAAUUUAAUGAAUGUUUCCGACACAUCACUAACGGUAAAUAAAUUGUAUCGAUAUAAUCGCUAU